UGAAGUGUAGCUCAGUGGUAGAGUCCUCGCUUUACAUGUGAAAGGCCAUGGGUUCGAUCCCCAGCUCUUCAA